ACGGCUCCCAGCAGGGACCAGCCACCCCACAAACCUCCAGCAAACCAUGAUUAUCAGGAGACCCCGUGCACCCCUGGGCUCUGACCAGGCUCCCCAUGUCCACCCUGGCCCACUCGUCACUCAGAGCUCUCACGUGUCAUCACCGUGUUCUGGGUGUGCAAUGGACCACUGUGGCUUCUGCCUGCCCCUUGUCCUAAUGUUGGUUUGGAGCCUCCCUCCUGACGUGGCUGGGAUGAGUAAGGACAGGGCUCCCAACACCUCCUGUGGCCCAAGAUGGGCACAGAAUUCUGCCCAGAGCAUCCCAUCUCCCUGGUCACUAUGAUUGGUUUCAAAAGGAGCAUGUGACCCAAUCUUGCCAAUCAAAUCCAACCCUGGGACUUUUGCCGCUACUGUGGAAAAGAGGCGCUCUCUUUCCACUGGGGCUGCUGGGCGGGUCUUGUCGGCAGCCAUCUCUGGCACCACACCGAGCCUGCCGGAGAGUAGGUCAGUGAGGCCGAGCGCAGAGCCACUGUGCCCCAGGGACGGGCUCCUGAGAGCUGGGGGUGUGCAGGCAGGUGUGCCUGAGAGCGCCUCCGUCCUUGGACUUCUCGGCUGUGAGAAGGAUAGCCACAGCCUCUCUCCCCCUGGUUUUUUUGGCCCAUGCCAGUUGAGUUGGAGUUCUGUCUUUUGCAGAUGGAAGCACCCACUUUCUAAUGCAGAAUACUUUGCAAAAUCUUCUGGGCUUCAUUCAAGAGUGACGAGGCGCUGGCUUUGGGGUGUGCACUGCUAUACACAGAAAUUAGGAAGAUUCGGCUCUGCCUCCAGACCGUCACUCCAGUCCAGAACUGGGUGGCAGGGUCUGGUUCCUGUCUUCAAGAAGGGGAUUAAAAGAAAAGAAGCUAAGGGGCUUUCCUAAGUGAACUCCAACAGGACGGCGGGUCGGCGUGACAGUGAUGGUGGAUGGCUUUGAGCCUCGCCGGAGUCCAGUGCCCAGCUAAGCCGUUUCCAUGACGGUUCUAUCGGAUUCAGUCCUCUCUGGCGCUGCCACUUACAGGCAAGGCAUCCGAGAGGGACGAUGUCAUUUCCCAGAGCCGCUCAGAGGGCAAACGGCGGAGGUGGAGGCCACGGCCCAGGCGUGCAGGGCCCAGAGCCCCCAUCUGUCUCCACACCUCGCCCAUCUCAGAAUCAGGGCUUCAUGGACACAAGCCUAGCAGGCCCCGUCCAGCUGGAAGCCCAACACUUGGAAAAGAAGGGUCCUGGGCAUCCAUCAGGCUGUUGUGCUGGGACAGACCCUUGGUCUACACACCUGGGUUUGCUCAUUAAACCUUCCCAGCAACCCUUCGGCGGCCGUUAUCCUGCCCGUUUUACGGAUGAGGAAGUUGAGGCUCCAGGAGACAAAGAAACCUCUCCAAAGUCAAGCAGCAGAGCAGCAGAGGGAGACAUGGCCGCUUUCGAGGUGAUGGGAGGAGGUGGGAAGGAGGGGAUACGUCAAAGUCGCAGGUCCACCGAGCCUGACUUCCCAAAGUGUCUGCAUUGCCCCUCGACAAGGAAUAUAUUGGCGGCAGAGUGCACCGUUCACUUUUAUAAAUUUAAGAAUUUAUUUUUAUGUAACCCAGAGCUACGAUAGAACUUCCAGCUGUCCCCUGGCUUCCAGGACACGCAUUUCUUUUCUAUGGCCAACGUUUAAGAAACGCUCAGCUGCUGCCCAGCGCCCUGGCAGAUCCCUCCCAGGAGCUAGGCCCAGACGCUCCCUGUUGUCCACAGUACAGCAGGCCUAGGGCCACCUGCAGCUCCCCCAGAAACCCCAUCAGGGCCAGGCCAGGUGGGACACAGGGCCUCGCUGCCCACUGGCCCAGGGGAUUCUGGGAAGGCCACGCUGACCUGCAGCCAAGGUCUCAUGACUCGGCCUGCUAUCCCAAAUGGCUCGAGUCCGACACUCGGGAGGGCGGGGCCCGGGCAGGAUGGGGACAGGGCCAUCAGCUGCUGUCACCCACCCUGUAAUUUCAAGGACUUUUAUCCAUUUUCCCCUCAAUUAUGUGCUGCUCGAAAUGGUCUUUCUCUGCUUCCUCACGGGCGCCUGCCCCUCACGCCUUCUUUGUGUCCCAGGUAAUUGCUAGUGACCUUUUCUAAGUGCACUAAUUA